rnacentral:rRNA from 1 species
UACAGAGGGGGCUAGCGUUGUUCGGAAUGAUUGGGCGUAAAGGGUGCGUAGGUGGUUUGUUAAGUGAGAUGUUAAAGCCCAGGGCUUAACCUUGGAAUCGCGUUUCAUACUGGCAGACUAGAGUGUAGUAGAGGAAGCGGAAUUCCUAGUGUAGAGGUGAAAUUCGUAGAUAUUAGGAGGAACACCGGAGGCGAAGGCGGCUUUCUGGGCUAUUACUGACACUGAGGCACGAAAGCGUGGGGAGCAAACAGG